CUACGGACUCCUACGGGAGGCAGCAGUAGGGAAUCUUCCACAAUGGGCGAAAGCCUGAUGGAGCAAUGCCGCGUGAGUGAAGAAGGUUUUCGGAUCGUAAAACUCUGUUGUUGAAGAAGAACAUGCGUGAGAGUAACUGUUCACGUACUGACGGUAUUCAACCAGAAAGCCACGGCUAACUACGUGCCAGCAGCCGCGGUAAUACGUAGGUGGCAAGCGUUGUCCGGAUUUAUUGGGCGUAAAGAGAAUGUAGGCGGUUUAUUAAGUUUGAAGUGAAAGCCCUCGGCUCAACCGAGGAAGUGCUUCGAAAACUGGUAAACUUGAGUGCAGAAGAGGAAAGUGGAACUCCAUGUGUAGCGGUGGAAUGCGUAGAUAUAUGGAAGAACACCAGUGGCGAAGGCGGCUUUCUGGUCUGUAACUGACGCUGAGAUUCGAAAGCAUGGGUAGCAAACAGGAUUAGAUACCCUGGUAG
rnacentral:rRNA from 1 species